AGUGAACGCUGGCGGUAGGCCUAACACAUGCAAGUCGAACGGCAGCACAGGAGAGCUUGCUCUCUGGGUGGCGAGUGGCGAACGGGUGAGUAAUACAUCGGAACGUGCCCUGUAGUGGGGGAUGACUAGUCGAAAGAUUAGCUAAUACCGCAUACGACCUGAGGGUGAAAGUGGGGGACCGCAAGGCCUCAUGCUAUAGGAGCGGCCGAUGUCUGAUUAGCUAGUUGGUGGGGUAAAGGCCUACCAAGGCGACGAUCAGUAGCUGGUCUGGGAGGACGAUCAGCCACACUGGGACUGAGACACGGCCCAGACUCCUACGGGAGGCAGCAGUGGGGAAUUUUGGACAAUGGGCGAAAGCCUGAUCCAGCAAUGCCGCGUGUGUGAAGAAGGCCUUCGGGUUGUAAAGCACUUUUGUCCGGAAAGAAAUGGCUCUGGUUAAUACCUGGGGUCGAUGACGGUACCGGAAGAAUAAGGACCGGCUAACUACGUGCCAGCAGCCGCCGUAA
rnacentral:rRNA from 1 species